UUUCCCCCCAUUCUGCUUUGUAACAAGCUCCAGGGCUAACUGCUGAACAGCAAUUUUCUAAUCAUUCCACAGAUUCGGGUGGGGAUUGAGGUCUGGACAUUGUCUCUGCACCUCCCUAAAUUUUUGUAUUUGAGCCACGUCUUGCUGUAUGCUUUGGGUUGUUGUUCUCCUAUCAGGGCUGUGGAGUCGGUAGAAAUGUGCCGACUCAGAUUACAGCUUCUAAAAGAUGAGGCUCCGGGAUGAUUCAAUGAAGGCUUGGCUACGUUGUGCCACUCUGAAACCAGCAACAUCACUAGAGGAACCACGAGAGAAUUGCAGUCACAGGUUCUUGAAAAACUGACGUUUUCCUUUGUCUGGGAGAAACCUCAGAUGUCUGAGCAUACAGUAGCAACCCCGGCUGCCCUGGGCUCUAGGGAGACAACCGUUAACCCUUCUGACCAUUUAACAUUUAAACAGUUCAUAGACUGGAUGAAGCGAAGUGGUGACAGGAGCACGGACCCUCUAGAAUACAAACAAAGAUGUUAUCUUUUGUCGAACAGUCGAUUGAAGGCAUAUCUAGCGUAAUUCAUGUACGGCGCACCUUGAGAAGCUGGUUAAGGACAGGGAUGGCAGUUCCUUUUGGGAAUUUAAAUUACUAUUUAUAUUGUUAUUACGUUGCAGAAUGAUCAGAGUCAUUUUCCUUCAUUACCUGUACAUUGUAAUACUGUACUAAAUGGGAGAGCACAAAAGAAUGUGUCAGAAUGAUCAAAGCUGUAUAACUUAUGACACUGAAGCAGACAUCAUUAAUUAGCUGUAAACGCAAAAAAAAUGUUCAGCUCCUAUAAUUUCACUUUACUAUAACUACUAAUAUAACAUAUUUGCACCUUGUAACCUUGGUAAAACCAUGCUGCACUGCAGGUGGGGGAGAUUUAUAAUGUGCAGAGAGAGUUAAGGGCCACAUACACUACUGCGACAUGUCCAUCGUAUGCUGUCCUUUUGCAUACGAUAUAUCUUGGGCGAUCCCAGCCAUGAAAAACAAAAGGAUUUUUCCCACGCACUCUGAGGGCUGUUAGUAACAAGAACUGUACACUAUAUAAUGAUAGAAAAUUUAGAGCUCUUAGUUACAUAUAUUUUGGAAAAAAUAUGAUAAGCCUCCAGGCCACUUCACGGCAGCUCUAUUGCUGGAGGUCCCUAAUAUUAAGUAUAAGUCCAGAGCGUGGACCCCACACAGUCGGAUCAGGCCCAACCAUGGGGUUAGACAUGAUCGCUAGUGCAGCACGUUAAAUCUGGAGGAUCCGAUUCGAUGCUCACGGGGCCGCUCAUCGGAUUGGAUCAGAUACACAGCCAAAAUGCCCGAUUUCACCCAAUAUAUCGGCUCAAAUUGGGCAUAAUCGUUCUAGUGUAUGGGUCCCUUUAGAUGUUGGAGGGGCAUGUCCAAACUGAAAUCUAAAGCUGCCCAACAUUUGUGGGCUACAUGCAAAAGCAGCCAGUAUUUACCCUGCGUGCAAAAAUAUCAACAUCAUCUUCCUAGGUAGACAGUCAUUGCCAUGGGGAUGUAGUAGUGAUCCCAGCGUUCAGGAUCCUGGUGGUCAGCAUACCAAUGCCGAGAGGGGGCCCAGGACUAUUCCCACUCAUGACGACACCUGUAGAGUGGGAAUACAACCUUUGGUGUGUGCAGCGAGCAACCAAGACCACAGGAGGCUUCGUUGUGCUGGCACCCCUGCUGGCAUUCAGGCAGCCGGGAUCCCAGCUUCGGUAUGCUGACCGUCGGGAUCCCGACCACUGCUCACCCGAUCCCAACCCAUUGCCAUGCCAUCAAUUAUGUGGAAUAUAUAGGUAUAGUUUCUGUCAUAUACAUAUAUAUGGUCGCUGUGACCUUUUAUACAUACCGACCAACUGUCCCAAUUUUCUCGGGACAGUCCCAUUUUCUGGGACUGCCCCGCUGUCCCACCUGCGGGCCUCUGUGUCCUGUGGUGGGGGGAAGUUGGGAGACUCCUGUCACUCGCUGCUCUGCUGUGAAUAGAUGCUGUGCUCAUGCACCAUCAACAUAUCUAUUUUAGCAGUACCCAAGCUGGUCUCAAACCUGGAUUUAAGCAACUGGCAUACCAAAGGUAUCCAGACGAUGCAGGACCUAUAUGAUCAGUCUCACCUUAAGGGGUCUAUUCAUGAAGCAGUGAAAAGGGUGGAGAAAAGAACCAGUGGAGAAGUCGCCCAUAGCAACCAAUCAGUUUUGAAGGAAGCCUUUAUCAAACACAUGCUGUAAAAUGUAAGGGAUAUGCUGAUUGGUUGCCAUGGCACUGGUCUGUUUCUCCAUUGUUUUCACUGCUUCAUGCAGAACUGGAUUAAAGCAGGGGUGACGGGGGCGGUUGUCCCUGGGCCCCCACACAUUAGGGGCCCCCACAUCCACUGUGUCCCCAUGACAGUGGAAUCGAGUUGGCAUCGUGUCGAGUUUUCUGCCGGCUGUGCACUGCACCGCAUGACAUCAAUGGUCACGCAGCACAGCAGCCUCACGCCGACCCGCUCCUUCAGCCGUGGAAGCGCAGUCGUACUGUAAUGGCAAGUCGGGACGGGACUCUGAUGGAGCUCUGCUGCUGUGGACCUGUCGGGACUCGGGAGGAGGAGGGAGCCCUGCUGCUGCUGCGGACCAGUACCGAACCGGCCAGCCCAGCCCAGUGAGACAGCGCCACUCCCUGUUGCUCUGUUAUGGUGCAGGUGUGUGUUUAUCAUGCAGGGGGUGGUGGGUGUUAAAAGCAGUUUCACUUGUGGGCCCCCCCGCAACUUCAUUGCCCCUGGGCCCCCACCAGCUUUAAUCCGCCAAUUUUUACCUCAUUUCUCAGGUUCACUCCCUCACUUUCCUCCCUCUGUACAAUCUGUAUUAUAGCCACUCGGGAAAGGCCUGACUUGCCUCCCACACUCAAAGUUUUUCCUCUGUUCAACGUAGCUAUGAGAUGGAUACUUUGGGUGUUAGAUUUUCCUCAGGACCUUCAUCUCAUGAUUACUACACUGCCCACCACUCCACUCCCAACAGGCUCUUAUCUGCUUAAUUUGGUUAACCUGGGAGCCUUCAGAUUUCCGUGCGUUGGUACUAACCCCUCUUUAAUGCAUAAAGUGCAAAGAGAUGUUCAUAUGUUUCUGAUGCCUCCUCUCGUCUCCUGCUUCUGGUGUUUAUUUACCUCUCCCUCACUAGUUCUUCUUUAUUCCAGAUAAAAGUUAUUACUUCUUUGUGUGUAAUGAUCUUGUAUAACCGG